CAUGAGGGGGAAACACGGGGCUCCCCUGCCAGAUGUUGGCCGGUUCCGGGGCUUCACGCAAGCGUCCUUCACCCCUCACCGAUUUUGCUUCUCCCCAAAAUGCAUCUGCAGGAUUUGGAAACACCCGCCUCAUAUACCCAGGCUCUGAAACGAGCCUCAUGAUCAUGCUUCAAAUAUCAUUUUCAUAAAGUAUGCAUAUGAAACCGUGCCCCCGGCAUACCGUGGUCCAUUCUCUUGGAUGCUACUGCGAAGUCCAUUCGGCCACUAGCGGGGCCAGCUAGUCAUUCUCGGCCACUAGCAAGGCCAGCGAAGUUAUUCUCGGCCACUAGCAAGGCCAGCUCAGUUGCAUUCGAUCAGUAGCAUCUUUGAGCCCAUUCUAGUGCCUCUUGGCUAGCUAAGACUUUAUAAACUUACAUGCAUGAUUAAAAUAUCAGCAUCAUCAUGUUGCAUACAUAGCCAU
rnacentral:lncRNA from 1 species